GUGAAACUCGACUUCAGGGACAAGCGCUCCGUAGUUCCGGCUGUCCAGGUCCUUGAUCUGGUAACUUUUGACCUUCGGACUAAUUUUCCGUAGUUCUGGCUGUCCAGGUCCUCCACCUGGUGGAUUUUGACAUCCAGGAAAAGCGCUCCGUAGUUCUGGCUGUCCAGGUCCUUGACCUGAUAUCUUUUGACCUUCCGGACAAAUUUUCAGGAUUACAAGUUUGAUUAUUGAAAACGUCAUGUUUUCUACUAUCAUCGGACAGGAAAAAAAAACCGAACGACCAGGAUUAACAAAUUGCAAUUGACACAAAUUACGCACUCCGUCUUUCCUGUCAAUUCGGGAUUCCAGCGGCGAGGCGCUUCAUUGGCCUGCUAAUAACUUUGCCAUUUUGCGACAAUUGAUGAUA
rnacentral:lncRNA from 1 species